rnacentral:rRNA from 1 species
GCGCGAAAACUUUACAAUGCUGGCAACAGCGAUAAGGGAACCUCGAGUGCCAGGUUACAAAUCUGGCUGUCGAGAUGCCUAAAAAGCAUUUCAUAGCAAGGGCCGGGCAAGACCGGUGCCAGCCGCCGCGGUAACACCGGCGGCUCGAGUGGUAACCGUUAUUAUUGGGUCUAAAGGGCCCGUAGCCGGCCGGAUAAGUCUCUUGAGAAAUCUGGCAGCUUAACUGUCAGGCUUUCAGGAGAUACUGUCUGGCUCGAGGCCGGGAGAGGUGAGAGGUACUUCAGGGGUAGGGGUGAAAUCUUGUAAUCCUUGAAGGACCACCAGUAGCGAAGGCGUCUCACCAGAACGGACCUGACGGCGAGGGACGAAAGCUAGGGGCACGAACCG